GACGAACGCUGGCGGCGUGCCUAAUACAUGCAAGUAGAACGCACAGUUUAUACCGUAGCUUGCUACACCAUAAACUGUGAGUUGCGAACGGGUGAGUAACGCGUAGGUAACCUGCCUGGUAGCGGGGGAUAACUAUUGGAAACGAUAGCUAAUACCGCAUAAUAUUGAUUAUUGCAUGAUAAUUGAUUGAAAGAUGCUAUUGCAUCACUACCAGAUGGACCUGCGUUGUAUUAGCUAGUAGGUGAGGUAACGGCUCACCUAGGCGACGAUACAUAGCCGACCUGAGAGGGUGAUCGGCCACACUGGGUCUGAGACACGGCCCAGACUCCUACGGGAGGCAGCAGUAGGGAAUCUUCGGCAAUGGACGAAAGUCUGACCGAGCAACGCCGCGUGAGUGAAGAAGGUUUUCGGAUCGUAAAGCUCUGUUGUAAGAGAAGAACGGGUGUGAGAGUGGAAAGUUCACACUGUGACGGUAUCUUACCAGAAAGAGACGGCUAACUACGUG
rnacentral:rRNA from 1 species